GUAUUCACCUCAUUAUGGUUUCAUGUUUACAAGACUGAUUUUUUUCCCCCAAUUGCAUUGGUGUUUUCUAAAUGUUCAUGCUUUCGCUAAAAAAGAAAAAUUAUGGCUUUUCAAUUAAUGAUGAGGCCACUUUAUAUCAUAUUGUUACCCCUCAAAAUGAUGCUCUACAUAACAUAUGGUUUGUGUACUCUUAAUUACUAUUCUAGUU
rnacentral:misc_RNA from 1 species